AUGAACGCUGGCGGCGUGCCUCAUACAUGCCAGUCGAGCGAACAGACGAGGAGCUUGCUCCUCUGACGUUAGCGGCGGACGGGUGAGUAACACGUGGAUAACCUACCUAUAAGCCUGGGAUAACUUCGGGAAACCGGAGCUAAUACCGGAUAAUAUAUUGAACCGCAUGGUUCAAUAGUGAAAGACGGUUUUGCUGUCACUUAUAGAUGGAUCCGCGCCGCAUUAGCUAGUUGGUAAGGUAACGGCUUACCAAGGCAACGAUGCGUAGCCGACCUGAGAGGGUGAUCGGCCACACUGGAACUGAGACACGGUCCAGACUCCUACGGGAGGCAGCAGUAGGGAAUCUUCCGCAAUGGGCGAAAGCCUGACGGAGCAACGCCGCGUGAGUGAUGAAGGUCUUCGGAUCGUAAAACUCUGUUAUUAGGGAAGAACAAAUGUGUAAGUAACUAUGCACGUCUUGACGGUACCUAAUCAGAAAGCCACGGCUAACUACGUG
rnacentral:rRNA from 1 species